rnacentral:rRNA from 1 species
AUCAACUUUCGAUGGUAGGAUAGAGGCCUACCAUGGUGGUAACGGGUAACGGGGUGUUAGGGCACGACACCGGAGAGGGAGCCUGAGAAACGGCUACCACAUCCAAGGAUGGCAGCAGGCGCGCAAAUUACCCAAUCCCGACACGGGGAGGUAGUGACAAUAAAUAACAAUACGGGGUUCUUUAGGAUCUCGUAAUUGGAAUGAGUACAAUUUAAAUCUCUUAACGAGGAACAAUUGGAGGGCAAGUCUGGUGCCAGCAGCCGCGGUAAUUCCAGCUCCAAUAGCGUAUAUUAAAGUUGUUGCAGUUAAAAAGCUCGUAGUUGAAUUUCGGGGUUAGUAGGUUGGUCAUGCCUCUGGUAUGUACUGAUCUCACUGAUUCCUCCUUCCUUAUGAACCGUAAUGCCAUUAAUUUGGUGUUGCGGGGAAUUUGGACUGUUACUUUGAAAAAAUUAGAGUGUUUAAAGCAGGCUAACGCUUGAAUACAUUAGCAUGGAAUAAUGAAAUAGGACGUUCGAUCUUAUUUUGUUGGUUUCUAGGAUUGACGUAAUGAUUAAUAGGGAUAGUUGGGGGCAUUAGUAUUCAAUUGUCAGAGGUGAAAUUCUUGGAUUUAUUGAAGACUAACUACUGCGAAAGCAUUUGCCAAGGAUGUUUUCAUUAAUCAAGAACGAAAGUUAGGGGAUCGAAGACGAUCAGAUACCGUCGUAGUCUUAACCAUAAACUAUGCCGACUGGGGAUCGGAUGAUGUUAAUUUUUUAAUGACUCAUUCGGCGCCUUACGGGAAACCAAAGUGUUUGGGUUC